rnacentral:rRNA from 1 species
CGGGGUGAGUAAUGUCUGGGAAACUGCCUGAUGGAGGGGGAUAACUACUGGAAACGGUAGCUAAUACCGCAUAACGUCGCAAGACCAAAGAGGGGGACCUUCGGGCCUCUUGCCAUCGGAUGUGCCCAGAUGGGAUUAGCUAGUAGGUGGGGUAAUGGCUCACCUAGGCGACGAUCCCUAGCUGGUCUGAGAGGAUGACCAGCCACACUGGAACUGAGACACGGUCCAG